GAGAAAUAUUUAAGAUAUUUAUCCUAUUUAGCAGCCGAGCACUGAUCAAUUGGAAUGGAAGUUGGCUACAAACAACUCGUGGGCCUUCUGAGGGAGCUGAACCUCUUCCAUGCAGGGGGGCGUCUGCCCGUGGGCAUGAGAGAGAAGCAGUCUCGCGGGCUGGUGGCUUGAGAACACAAUUGAUGAAGAAUCGACGCGUGCUUUCUCUUCUGCACCUACUGCUCUUCACAAGGGGAAGAAUUCCAAAUCUGGACUGUUUCAGGGGACAGCUAAUCUUUCCACAGUGGGGCUUCUCCCAAUCUUCCUUCCUACUGAAGGAUUUGUUUAUCACCAAAUGGAGACAAAGAAAAUCCACAUUCUUCAAACACAUUUGGGCUCCAUCAACAAUUGCAUAUAAAAUAAAAGGAAAAAAACCAAGGAAACACUGUGUCUUAGCCUGGGUCCUCUAGAAAGCAGAUCAUGAGACAAGGAAUCAGUGCCAACAUUACACUUGGAGAUGCGAGCCCAUGAUAAUGAAGGUGAGAGCAAAAGAUGAAGGAAGCAAGGUAAGAUGGAAUGCAGUGUAUUACCACAGUAGCUAUUACUUUAUAACAAGCCAUAGCAAGUCACUUAGUAGGGCUGUUAAUUCUGUACAUGAGGAUGCUGCAGAAAGUGUAUAAGGAAAAACCUCACUACAGAGUAACCCACGGACAGAGAAAGAGGGGGAAACUUAUUUGUUUAGCUAUCUCCCAUCUUCCAUUUCCACCUGGCCAAGUUUCACCCCAAGAGGAGCUAACUCUAUCCUCUG
rnacentral:lncRNA from 1 species